GUCAGGCAGUUGCCGGGCAGAAUUGUGCGCGAACGAUGGGCGACUCCGCGACGGAGUGGUGGUCAGAUCCACACGUGAGGCGCAGGGACUGUCACUCCGUAUACCAGCGCGUGCAGCUGAUAGCAAGUUUGGUGAGCGCUGCUGGACGUCGAGGUGUUAUGGGUGAGGCCGACUGAGACCAGAUCCAGUGCAUCCUUAGUGGUUCAGACCAAGACCUGUGUCAAUGUUUGAGAAAUAUAUGUAACCAUGAAAGGCAUUUAUUGCUCAGAAUUACUUAUUUAGAACUGAAAUAUUGUUAUAUUAUACAUGCCUCCAAAUCUUGAGAUAGAGAUAACAAAUGAAUAUAGCAUUAUGUGAUGCUCUUGGCAACUGCA